GGUUAAGCGACUAAGCGUACACGGUGGAUGCCUAGGCAGUCAGAGGCGAUGAAGGGCGUGCUAAUCUGCGAAAAGCGUCGGUAAGCUGAUAUGAAGCGUUAUAACCGACGAUACCCGAAUGGGGAAACCCAGUGCAAUACGUUGCACUAUCGUUAGAUGAAUACAUAGUCUAACGAGGCGAACCGGGGGAACUGAAACAUCUAAGUACCCCGAGGAAAAGAAAUCAACCGAGAUUCCCCCAGUAGCGGCGAGCGAACGGGGAGGAGCCCAGAGUCUGAAUCAGUUUGUGUGUUAGUGGAAGCGUCUGGAAAGUCGCACGGUACAGGGUGAUAGUCCCGUACACCAAAAUGCACAGGCUGUGAACUCGAUGAGUAGGGCGGGACACGUGACAUCCUGUCUGAAUAUGGGGGGACCAUCCUCCAAGGCUAAAUACUCCUGACUGACCGAUAGUGAACCAGUACCGUGAGGGAAAGGCGAAAAGAACCCCGGCGAGGGGAGUGAAAUAGAACCUGAAACCGUGUACGUACAAGCAGUGGGAGCACCUUCGUGGUGUGACUGCGUACCUUUUGUAUAAUGGGUCAGCGACUUAUAUUUUGUAGCAAGGUUAACCGAAUAGGGGAGCCGUAGGGAAACCGAGUCUUAACUGGGCGUCUAGUUGCAAGGUAUAGACCCGAAACCCGGUGAUCUAGCCAUGGGCAGGUUGAAGGUUGGGUAACACUAACUGGAGGACCGAACCGACUAAUGUUGAAAAAUUAGCGGAUGACUUGUGGCUGGGGGUGAAAGGCCAAUCAAACCGGGAGAUAGCUGGUUCUCCCCGAAAGCUAUUUAGGUAGCGCCUCGUGAACUCAUCUUCGGGGGUAGAGCACUGUUUCGGCUAGGGGGCCAUCCCGGCUUACCAAACCGAUGCAAACUCCGAAUACCGAAGAAUGUUAUCACGGGAGACACACGGCGGGUGCUAACGUCCGUCGUGAAGAGGGAAACAACCCAGACCGCCAGCUAAGGUCCCAAAGUCAUGGUUAAGUGGGAAACGAUGUGGGAAGGCACAGACAGCCAGGAUGUUGGCUUAGAAGCAGCCAUCAUUUAAAGAAAGCGUAAUAGCUCACUGGUCGAGUCGGCCUGCGCGGAAGAUGUAACGGGGCUAAACCAUGCACCGAAGCUGCGGCAGCGACACUUAGGUGUUGUUGGGUAGGGGAGCGUUCUGUAAGCCGUUGAAGGUGACCUGUGAGGGUUGCUGGAGGUAUCAGAAGUGCGAAUGCUGACAUAAGUAACGAUAAUGCGGGUGAAAAACCCGCACGCCGGAAGACCAAGGGUUCCUGUCCAACGUUAAUCGGGGCAGGGUGAGUCGACCCCUAAGGCGAGGCUGAAAAGCGUAGUCGAUGGGAAACAGGUUAAUAUUCCUGUACUUGGUGUUACUGCGAAGGGGGGACGGAGAAGGCUAGGCUGGCCGGGCGACGGUUGUCCCGGUUUAAGCGUGUAGGGGGAGUGACCAGGUAAAUCCGGUUGCUUAUCAACCCUGAGGCGUGAUGACGAUGCACCACGGUGCAGAAGCAGUUGAUGCCAUGCUUCCAGGAAAAGCCUCUAAGCAUCAGGUAACAUUAAAUCGUACCCCAAACCGACACAGGUGGUCAGGUAGAGAAUACUCAGGCGCUUGAGAGAACUCGGGUGAAGGAACUAGGCAAAAUGGUGCCGUAACUUCGGGAGAAGGCACGCUGGCGUUAGGUGAAAGGACUAGCUCCUGGAGCUGAAGCCAGUCGCAGAUACCAGCUGGCUGCAACUGUUUAAUAAAAACACAGCACUGUGCAAACACGAAAGUGGACGUAUACGGUGUGACGCCUGCCCGGUGCUGGAAGGUUAAUUGAUGGGGUCAGCCGCAAGGCGAAGCUCUUGAUCGAAGCCCCAGUAAACGGCGGCCGUAACUAUAACGGUCCUAAGGUAGCGAAAUUCCUUGUCGGGUAAGUUCCGACCUGCACGAAUGGCGUAAUGAUGGCCAGGCUGUCUCCACCCGAGACUCAGUGAAAUUGAACUCGCUGUGAAGAUGCAGUGUACCCGCGGCAAGACGGAAAGACCCCGUGAACCUUUACUAUAGCUUGACACUGAACAUUGAGCCUUGAUGUGUAGGAUAGGUGGGAGGCCUUGAAGUGUGGACGCCAGUCUGCAUGGAGCCAACCUUGAAAUACCACCCUUUAAUGUUUGAUGUUCUAACUCGGCCCCAUGAUCUGGGGUGAGGACAGUGUCUGGUGGGUAGUUUGACUGGGGCGGUCUCCUCCCAAAGAGUAACGGAGGAGCACGAAGGUUAGCUAAUCACGGUCGGACAUCGUGAGGUUAGUGCAAAGGCAUAAGCUAGCUUGACUGCGAGAGUGACGGCUCGAGCAGGUACGAAAGUAGGUCUUAGUGAUCCGGUGGUUCUGAAUGGAAGGGCCAUCGCUCAACGGAUAAAAGGUACUCCGGGGAUAACAGGCUGAUACCGCCCAAGAGUUCAUAUCGACGGCGGUGUUUGGCACCUCGAUGUCGGCUCAUCACAUCCUGGGGCUGAAGUAGGUCCCAAGGGUAUGGCUGUUCGCCAUUUAAAGUGGUACGCGAGCUGGGUUUAGAACGUCGUGAGACAGUUCGGUCCCUAUCUGCCGUGGGCGUUGGAAGAUUGAGAGGGGCUGCUCCUAGUACGAGAGGACCGGAGUGGACGAAUCACUGGUGUUCGGGUUGUCAUGCCAAUGGCAUUGCCCGGUAGCUAAAUUCGGAAGAGAUAACCGCUGAAAGCAUCUAAGCGGGAAACUUGCCUCGAGAUGAGUCUUCCCUGGGGCUUAAAGCCCCCUGAAGGAACGUUAAAGACUAUGACGUUGAUAGGCUGGGUGUGUAAGUGCAGCGAUGUAUUGAGCUAACCAGUACUAAUGAUCCGUGAGGCUUAACCUUACAACACC
rnacentral:rRNA from 1 species